rnacentral:rRNA from 1 species
UACAGAGGUCCCAAGCGUUGUUCGGAUUUAUUGGGCGUAAAGGGCGCGUAGGCGGCCGCCUAAGUCAGACGUGAAAUCCCUCGGCUCAACCGGGGAACUGCGUCUGAUACUGGGUGGCUUGAAUCCGGGAGAGGGAUGCGGAAUUCCAGGUGUAGCGGUGAAAUGCGUAGAUAUCUGGAGGAACACCGGUGGCGAAGGCGGCAUCCUGGACCGGCAUUGACGCUGAGGCGCGAAAGCCAGGGGAGCAAACGGG